rnacentral:rRNA from 1 species
AUUACUCCUACGGGAGGCAGCAGUGGGGAAUAUUGCACAAUGGGGGAAACCCUGAUGCAGCAACGCCGCGUGAGUGAUGAAGGCCUUCGGGUUGUAAAGCUCUGUCUUCAGGGACGAUAAUGACGGUACCUGAGGAGGAAGCCACGGCUAACUACGUGCCAGCAGCCGCGGUAAUACGUAGGUGGCAAGCGUUGUCCGGAUUUACUGGGCGUAAAGGGAGCGUAGGCGGAUAUUUAAGUGGGAUGUGAAAUACCUGGGCUUAACUUGGGUGCUGCAUUCCAAACUGGAUAUCUGGAGUGUUGGAGAGGAAAGUGGAAUUCCUAGUGUAGCGGUGAAAUGCGUAGAGAUUAGGAAGAACACCAGUGGCGAAGGCGACUUUCUGGACAAUAACUGACGCUGAGGCUCGAAAGCGUGGGGAGCAAACAGGAUUAGAUACCCUGGUAGUCAAU